rnacentral:rRNA from 1 species
UACGAAGGGGGCUAGCGUUGUUCGGAAUUACUGGGCGUAAAGCGCGCGCAGGCGGCCAUUCAAGUCAGGGGUGAAAGCCCAGAGCUCAACUCUGGAACUGCCCUUGAAACUGUAUGGCUUGAGUAUGAGAGAGGUGAGUGGAAUUCCCAGUGUAGAGGUGAAAUUCGUAGAUAUUGGGAAGAACACCGGUGGCGAAGGCGGCUCACUGGCUCGUAACUGACGCUCAUGCACGACAGCGUGGGGAUCAAACAGG